rnacentral:tRNA from 1 species
AAGGAUUUAAGUUAAUAAAACUAUUGACCUUCAAAGUCAAAAUUGGGAUCUCCCUAAUCUUUA